CGCUGCUGAUCAGAAUAAUAAUAGACGAUGUCACAGCACAUCUUUGUCGACAAGUUUUCAGGAGGUCUCUCUCUGCUCCAUCUGCAGGAGGAAUCUCAUCCAACCCGAUGCCGUGAUUACUUCCCCUGGGAGAGGAAACGCAGACGGACACAAUAUCAAGAUUGCAAAAAUGCAUCGGACCACCAACUAAUGUGUAUUUUGUGCCGAUGCAGUGGAGGAUGUCAAGUGACAUGUUGGCCAUCUCAG